UUUGGACCCUUUUGACCUCAAUGUGGACAAAGUUGAUAACGGGGCCCAAAAAUCAAAAAUCUAAAUACAUGGUUAGAUUCAGCAUAUCAAAGAACCCCAUAUAUUCAAUUUUUGUUGAAAUCAAACAAAGUUUAAUUUUGGACCCUUUUGACCUCAAUGUGGACAAAGUUGAUAACGGGGCCCAAAAAUCAAAAAUCUAAAUACAUGGUUAGAUUCAGCAUAUCAAAGAACCCCAUAUAUUCAAUUUUUGUUGAAAUCAAACAAAGUUUAAUUUUGGACCCUUUUGACCUC